GCCGGGUGUGGUGGCUCACGCCUAUAAUCCCAGCACUUUGGGAGGCUGAGGUGGGAGGAUUGCUUGAGCCCAGGAGUUUGAGACCAGCCUGGAUAACAUAGCAAGACCCCACCUCUA
rfam:Papio anubis isolate 1X1155 chromosome 10, whole genome shotgun sequence.